AAUCAGAUUUUGCGCAUGCGUCAAAAGUCCUGAGGGAUCCUUAACACAAACUGAGAAGAACAAGCGAGUCAAGUCAGUUGCUGGCUGAGUAUCUUUGUUGCGGUGAACAUAAUUCGUCGGUCGUGACCGAUACUUCUCUUGCGUACUUUCUUCUGUCUGUUUUUAGUGUAUUUUUACGACAAAAGUACAUCGUCGAAUUAAUUUUUUACGAUUCUUUUAUACUUCUAACUACGAUUUUUCUAUUCAUAAAAUACCGAAUAAGACUGAUCAUUCGCAUAUUUACAGAAUAAUUAGCGGUUAUUACAUCGUAUUCUAAUAAUUUAAAAAAAAAUUAAUAUUUUUCAUUGUUUUUUUGAUCAUAGAAUAAUUGAAUAUUUGUUGAAUUAUAUUUUCUUUAAUUUAAUAUAUUACUUGAGAUAUUUAUUUUUCAAUAUUUGAUACUUAAUUGAUCGGUAAUUUUAUAUAAGAACAUUAUAUUUAUUAAUAAAACUUUUCUAAUUUUUUUAAUUAUCAAGCAAUAUAAUAAUUACCUAUAACACUCUUUUAUAAUAUUGUAAAUAUGUUUACAAUUUGACAUUUUAUAAUUUUUCAUCUUACUUUACUUAAAUCUUAUAAUUGAUAAUUUUAUUUAAUUAAUAAUGGAAAUAUUUUGUUAAUAAUUUAUUUUAUAAGAAUAAAAUAAAAUAAAAAAUAACAAAAAACUUAACCGAUCGUUUAAGUGUUAAAAAAAUUCUACUUUCUAGUCUUUGUAUGAAUGUAUUAAUAUCAACACCAAUUAAUAUUGAAUUGUUGUAAAGCAAUUAAUACACUAGACAGCAUAUUUCGAAAUUUGUUAAUAAGUAAUAUACAUAGUAUUUUAGUUAAUAAAAAUAAUCAUUGCACAUGAUAAGUAUAUUUUUUUUUAUAUUAUUCAAUUAUACACUAUUAUAGAAUAAACAUGUCAUGCACAAAUAUAUCAUAUCAUUAUAAACUUGCUAUCUAGUGUAUAUCUUCAAAAAAAUCGAUGCAAUAAUCGAAUUAAUCUGUAUAAUUUGAGAUCACGCUUUUUCUACAUAAGAAAUUCACAUUCCGUGAGCUGUGCAAUGGUCGAAACAUUUUUACAGCUAUUUCUAUGAAAGAAUUUUACGUCACAACCCGCUUAGAAAAUAUUAAAAUGGUAAAUUUUAUAUAUGGAUUAGUACUAAUUUUGUGGGCGUGUAAUUUAUCGAUUAGCUUAUAAGUAACAUUUUUCUUUUUUUGUCGAAUUUCAAUAUUUUUCGAAUAUAUUGAUAUUUUGAUUCGACAAAAAGAGAAUAAUUAUUUUUCGAUAUGCUUUUAUCUUUUAUAUGAUACUUUUUUUUAUCUGCUCUCUAUUUUUCAUAUACAAACAAGAUUAAUAUUAAGGUCGUUACUUCGGCAAAACUAUCUGUAGUUUAUGUUAUUUAUCAUAUUGAGGAAAGCGGGAUAAUCUAAAUGCAUUAUGUAAGCAAUAAAUUCUGCUAUUAAA